ensembl:lncRNA
GGACGGUUAUAACAGCAUUGUACUGCAGCUUAACAAGUAAGACUCUAGUAACUCCAGAAGAGAAUUUCAGGGAAAUAUGGUUUCUGCUGAAUGGAACUGAGUAAAUCAGCACUAGCAUGGCUAAAGGUCAAUUUCCUUUCACAGGUUUGAAACCGUGGAUGUUUUAUACAAACUGACAAAUAAAGGAGCAAAGAAGGAAGGAGAUUGUGUGAAAAGAGAGAUGAGCUAGAUCUGAAACAGCAGCAAGGGACUGGAAAUUCCACCUGCAGCUCUGUGAAUAACCUGUGGCAUUCAAAGCCACUUAAGAUUGUCUGGGGAAUCUUGCUGCUUGUGAUGGGCAAGAGAUCUGGCCCUGGGGGUCACAAGAGUGAGAGAACUAGCCCUGCCCCACACCAGCUGCAGCGCACAGGAGAGUGAGCCCUACACCCAGCCUGGCAGCACACGAGAGCUGACCCUGUUGUCAGAAUACAAGUGAGCCAGCCCUGAGGGCAUGAGAGCAGGAGAGCUAAACCCACUCAUACUCCCCCUACAGCAAUCAGGAGAGAGGGCCCUGCUUCUUGCCUGGGGGAAACAGUAGAGCUGGCCUUAGUGAUGUGAACAUGGGGACCCAGAUCUGAGGACCCCAGAGGAGGAGAACUGGCCUUCUCUCCAUUCUGUAGACUGUAGCUCCUUGCUCUAGACUGCAUGGGGUAAGCUAUCCCAUAUAGUGCUGGGGAGCUCGCCUGGGUAGUAAUGAUGAGGGAAAGCCGGCAGGCUGACCAACCCAGCUACCACCCAGGCCCAGAACCAGGGCCAUCACCUCACCUAUGAACUGUUGGAGCAGGUCAAGGGGACAAAUCCUACAGAUCUGAAACAGCAGGAUCUCCAUGACACAGGACAAGAUAUUCAAGAGGAGCCCCAGUGAGAGCCCGAUCUUUGUGAUGUGGCAGAAACCAGAGACCUUGAGCAAAAGCAACGACUUGUGGCAAUGAAUAGUUGCAAGUAAAAAUGAACAGACUAGGCCAGGCAGUGGUGGCGCACGCCUUUAAUCCCAGCACUCAGGAGGCUGAGGCAGGCAGAUCUCUGUGAGUUUGACACCAGUCUGGUCUACAAGAGCUAGGUCCAGGACAGCCUCCAAAGCCACAGAGAAAUCCUGUCUCCAAAAACAACAACAACAAAAAUGAACAGACUAAAGGGUAAACUAUGUGACUGAGUGGGCCACACUACAGCUUCCACAAUAAAAUUAUUCUUCUUCUGUUCAUUUUGUUUUUUUUUUUUUCUUUGUUUGGUUCCAGGGACUGUAAAAAUAGCUUCGAUUCAUCUUGACUUAAAGUCAGAGAGUUCAAAACCCUCCUUACUCUUCCAAGGUUAAAGUCAUAAGACCUAAAGGUCUAAGGCAUGGCUACUGCAGGAUGUUUGGUCUUGGUUGUGGAUGUCUUAUCUAAAUAACUAGAAACUUGUUUUGAGGUGUAGUUACUCUUAACCCUUGAGGCCAGAUAAUGAGAGAUUUGGUCUAAGGCAUGGUUACCAAAUGU